rnacentral:misc_RNA from 1 species
CGCACCUUGCGCCUUUUGGUAUUCCGAAAGGCAUGCCUGUUUGAGUGUCAUGUAGACUCAACCCCCCGGGUUUCUUGCCCGGGGUGCGUUGGAUUUGGGCCUUGCCUUUCACCGGGCUGGCCUCAAAAGUGUUAGCGGGAUCCGCACAGACGUUGUAAGCACUCGUCGACGCCGGGCCCGCUCCCAAAACCAAAACUACUUUGCACUCUGACCUCAAAUCAGGCAGGGCUACCCGCUGAACUUAA